rnacentral:lncRNA from 1 species
ACUAUUAAUCAGUUCAACUUAUCUCUUUUCUGUCUGACUGAGCACAACUCUUUCGUCUUCUUCACGUAACGUCGCUUUUUAACUUCAAUACUCUUUCGUAUAUAACUUGUAACAAUCUUUCCUUAACAAUCUUCUUUAUAAUAGCUUUUCCAAAAUGAUAUUCACGUAAGGCGCUGAGGCCUACGAAUAAUGUAACUGAGGCGCUGAGGCCUAUUGAAUGAAACAUGUAAGGCGCGGAGGCCUAUCUAUGAAUCAUGUAAGGCACGGAGGCCUGAUGAAUAAUGUAACUGAGGCGCUGAGGCCUAUUGAAUGAAUCAUGUAAGGCGCGGAGGCCUAUCUAUGAAUCAUGUAAGGCACGGAGGCCUAUUGAAUGAAUCACGUAAGGCGCGGAGGCCUAUGAAUGAAACAUGUAAGGCACGGAGGCCUAUCUAUAUGAAACAUGUAAGGCACGGAGGCCUAUGAAUGAAACAUGUAAGGCACGGAGGCCUAUCUAUGAAACAUGUAAGGCGCGGAGGCCUAUCUAUAAAACAUGUAAGGCACGGAGGCCUAUUGAAUGAAUCAUCUAAGGCGCGGAGGCCUAUGAAUGAAACAUGUAAGGCACGGAGGCCUAUCUAUGAAACAUGUAAGGCGCGGAGGCCUAUCUAUGAAUCAUGUAAGGCACGGAGGCCUAUUGAAUGAAUCAUGUAAGGCACGGAGGCCUAUGAAUAAUGUAUUAGAGUUGUGCUCUCCCUUAUAUACUGUUCAGAGAGGAACUUUUAAACUUGCAGUGUCAUUACUUGGGAAGAUUCUCACAAUCUUCUUGCGGUAACCGUUCCCGUCCAUCACGCACUUGUGGUAACUAAAUAUUUGCUUGCUCAUGCGUGACCAAGCUAAAAGAACUUCCCAUGCGUAAAACAAUUUCCCAUAGGUAAAUUCUUUAGAGUAGGCUAAAUAUAACUAAACUAUGAUAUAUAAUAUAUAUAUAUAGUAAAAU